CCCUCGGAUCAGGUAGGGAUACCCGCUGAACUUAAGCAUA
rnacentral:rRNA from 1 species